rnacentral:rRNA from 1 species
UACCGAGGUGGCAAGCGUUGUUCGGAAUUACUGGGCGUAAAGGGCGCGUAGGCGGCCAUCUAAGUCAGACGUGAAAUCCCCCGGCUUAACCUGGGAACUGCGUCUGAUACUGGACGGCUUGAGUAUGGGAGAGGGAUGUAGAAUUCCAGGUGUAGCGGUGAAAUGCGUAGAUAUCUGGAGGAAUACCGGUGGCGAAGGCGGCAUCCUGGACCAUUACUGACGCUGAGGCGCGAAAGCUAGGGGAGCAAACGGG